AGGCUGAGUCUAAAAUCUAGGAAGUGGACUGACUGUAGUUGUUGUUCUGCUGUAACAGAGAAUCCAAAGUUCUAAAGAGCCUCAAGGUGUCGCCACAAAGUCAACCGACACACACGCAAAAGAAAAAAAAAAUCCAACAGAAACAAAAACAAACAAGUUCCACUACCGGAACUAGCAGCAACAAGAACAAUGCGAUGAAGAAAAAUAAACAAACGAAGUAAAACAAAUACGACAGCAUCAACAGCAAGAGCUUCAAAAAGCAGCAACACCACCGACAAGAACAACAUUAAAAGAAACAAGGGGAAAAUAACAGCAAGAACAACAACAGUAGGUGAUGGAAUCUUUGACAACUAUUACGAUGGCCAAUGAUAACAAGACGAUAUGGUAACAAUAACAUUAGCAAUAGAAGAAAAAAAAAUCAACAGCAAGAACAACAGCAAUAAAAACAAUCAUGAUAAUGAUAAUAAAAUUCGUGAUAAUAAUAAUUAUAUUAAACGCCUCAACAGAAUUAGAAAUAGUAACGUUAAAACAUGAUUUCGCAAAAAAAGUAGAAAUAGAAAUAUAAAACAAAACGGAAAUAAAAUGGCAAAAAUGUUUUCAAGAAUACAAUGCUGAUGCUGUUGUUGUUGCUACUGCUGCUGCUACUGCUGCUACUACUACUACUACUACUACUACUACUACUACUACUACUACUACUACUACUACUACUGCUGCUGCUGCUGCUGCUGCUACAACUAUUACUACUGCUACUACUUCACAAAAACACAAACGUCGUCAGCAAUAGUAAUAACACAAAGUGCAAAAAUAAUCUGACAAAGAAAAAAAACAUACAAAGCAAAAACAAAAACACGAAAAAUACAAAAGAAAAACUAAUUUGAAUGAAAAUGUUACUGGGGGAAACGUAAAUAAAACAAAAACAAUAACAUAUCUGGACCGUAGAAGA